CUUGUACCCUCUAUUAAAUUGUGAAGGAGUGUUGAUACGUGUUUCUUGUUUCCUAUGCUCUCACUGCAUUAGGUGUAUAAGUAUUGUGUCUGUAGUUACUUUAUAGUGUUAUUUUGAUCGUACAUCAUUUCAUUUGUUAAAGUUUGCAAUAAGUAAGAUUUUCUUCUUCUCUUUCUUCAACCUUGACUCAUCAAAUUUUUCAUGACGAGACCUCUUGUAGGAUGAAGGGCCAUUGAUAUUGAUGACUACUUCCCUCUUCCUUUGUGAAAAAAACCUUUAUCUUACUCUGCUGAUGGAUUAGUUUAUCUCUUGAUGUCUCCUCUGAAUUUCGAAAGCACUGGCUCUCAGUGCUUUACUUGAUUGGCUAACAUAGUGACAACAAAAUUAUUUUUAGGUCGCGCAUAAAUCUUCUUAUAUUUUGAUCUUGGCUAUUGAGGUUUUAAAUUCCUAUCUAAGAUUCCCGAGUUGAUAGUGUCAUCUUUUGAGAUGUUUUUACUCAAUCCCUUUGUGUGCGUGUUGUAGCAAUUUAGCUCUUCUUAGCUGGUUAGUCUCUACCUAGACUUAAAGGAUGUGCUGCCUUCUGUCUUUUAUCCUCAGUCUCUCUGGUCAGUCUUUUGUUGGCUUUCCCAUCGGUGCAUAGUACCUCACAUUCACCAUUUACUUGUCAAUUAUCUUUAUGCAGCCUUUGUCCCUUUUGUAUCUUCCCUGGAGAAAGUGCCUGGUUCUCACAACUCUUUUCUGAAAAUUGUAGGAAAUAUAGCCUUGUUUAGUAUGCUGGCUAUGUCCUACUUCAGCUUUCUACUCUGCCAAUGUUGUUUUCUAAAAUUGCUCUUUGCAUUUAUACAAUGAACAUAGACAGUUAACUCAGGCACUGACCUAGAAACGGAAAGACACUCAACUCUAGUUGCAUUGACAAGCUUUUACUUUCUGAUAAAGAAAAAAGGAAAACGAGAAGACUUUGUCAUCGGUAUCUUCAUUGUUUUCCAAAAGUUAGACAGUUAAAGCAAAGAAUUUGGCGAAUUAUUUAGCUAAAGUCUUCUGUUUUAUCAUUGUGUGUAGGACGCUCAAUGCACCUUUCAUAAUGGUUUGGCCCCAUCUUUAGUAGAUAAGGCAUGAAAUUAUUGUAAUUUAAAACUUCCCAGGUUGUAUGAUUUCAUACCUUAUGAAGUUAGAAGCACAGUUUUCUCUUUUGGUUUAAGAUUAUAAUACUAUAGCUUUUAACAUAUAGCAAUUACUCGGGCUGUAUUUUAAGAAAAUUUGUCAACUGUUGAAGUAUAAGUUUGUUAAAUUAUUCCUGUUCCUGGUGCUGUCUUGGCACUGAAGUUAUAAAUUUUCCUCCAUUUAACAAUCUGAAUCAUGAGCUGAAUGCUGAUAGUUUAAUGAGAUUUCCCAUAAGCAAAUGUAUUUAGCUUUUGAUUUUCAAGAUGGUUUACCCUGUGUGCACAUCUUUGGAGUGGUGGAAGAAAAACUUUCACUAUAAUUGUGUCUUAAGAGAAAGCUACUUCCAC